CUGCUUGCACGCAACUGGCGAUAGGCGCCGGGCCCCACAGGCCCUUUGGCGCUGACGUGGGACACCACUGGGAAGCGUGCCGCAAGCCUCUUUGGGCUUGCGAUCAGCCGUUCGCCUGGGCAGCCCUG
rnacentral:ncRNA from 2 species